rnacentral:lncRNA from 1 species
AAACCUGCCAGACAUGUUCUAUCAGAGGUUCCCAUAAUCAUCGUUCCAUCUUUCGAAUAUUAUCGGAGGAACGAAUACUCGUAUUCCAAGAAUAUUCUCAAGAGAAACUCUUACGAGUGUAGUAUCGCGUGACAAUCGCAUCAGAACUGACAUCUGAACGACCUCCGCACUACGGUCCUAAAAAAUAGGCCAAGACGGGUUUGGUAAACUACGGUCCUUGGCUUCUGCGGCACAUGAUUGAAAGAAUAAUGC